AAGUAAACAAGUAUUAUGUGCAAACAGUACGCAUAGAAAGUAGGUGCUGUUUUUCUAAUAUUAAUUUGACGUUAGUUAUUUCAGCUUUACGAUAGUCAAAAAUGGUUCAAUAUUUUUCUGUAUGUAUAUUUUGCCCGACCAAAUAAUGCAUGCACUUUGCAAUGUAUAAUAGGCUGCCAAUGUAAAGCAGGCUACCUCUUAAACUCUAGAGAAAAUUGCGUUUCACCCCUUGCGUGUUCAAGGAAUACCUACUUGGGUAAAUUUCAAGCAUUGGAUAGAAUAGAAAAGCUUUAUGAAGGUCAAAAUGGUUCGAUAUAUUUCUGUAUGUGUAUUUUGCGUUAUGCUGGUUGCUUUUCACCUGGAAAAUAUAGACGCUCAACGGCAGUGCCCUCCGGGUCAAGAAUUUACAACUUGCGGAAGUGCUUGUCCGCCAGCUUGUAAUCAGGACCCAAAUCGAGCAUGCACUCUGUAGGCUGCCAAUGUAGACUAGGCCUCCUCUUGCACUCUUCAGGAAAUUGCGUCGAACCGAAAGAUUGUUAAAUUUCAAGCAUUGCACGGAAUAGAAAAGAAGUGGAAGUUUUCAAUAAAUAUUCAUUUAGAUAUCAUAAUAGGUAUACAUAUUUUAACUUGUCUUACUUUCUGUAAUUGCAUUUCUAUCUAGUUCUGGGUAAAUAUUAUAUGUGUCAUGUGUACUUGAUAAAGUAGAUCACAAAAACAAUUAAAAUAUUGGGAACAAAUUCAUUAGAGACCUUGAUUAUUUCAAGUUGAAAAUUACUCAGGAAAGACAUUUCAGCUCGGGAGAAAUCCUUGGAGGGGAGAUAUGGGUCCUCAAACAAAGCGCAUAUUAUUUUUUCGCUCUAGCUUUUACUAAAUCAGUAAUGGAAUAAAAAUAGUACUGUUUGAAAAAUGACGAUGUUUUAGAUUCUGCAUCGACGAGUACUACGAGUAUGUAGACCAUUGCCAUCAGAAUCCACCACCUUUAUUCAGGGUUCUUACUGAGCAGUUGAAAAAUACCCAAUAUGGUCACUAACAAGCACCAAUCGCGUUUUACAUGCUAAAGUCUCAAUUCGGACAGUUUUUAUGACAAUUUUCGAAAAGUUUGAAUUUCCAAAAUUGACUGGAGGAUGGAGGCCUUCGAAACGACUUGAAACCGCCUCCAAUCGACUCGCCAUCAUCGAGUACAAUUCUAUGGAAAUUUCAACUUUCAAAAAUCUGCGCGGGGUGGGGGAGGGGGUUCCAGAAGUUCUAGAAUUGCUCAAUACGAUAGAUUUAGUAAACGUUUUCAAUGGACUUGAAUGGUCAAAAAUGGAACGCACACCAAAUUUUCAACAUAGGUACCUCUACCUACCUAUGCGUAAGUUUGGUAAAAUUCUGAUAUUUUUUCGAAUUUUUGGUUCAAAUUUGAUUUUUAAAAAUUCAAAAUUCAUCAAAAAUCAUUGUCGAAAAUUUACACUUUCGGAAGAGAUUUCAAGAAGUAUCCAUUCCUCUUCCUAGAAAAUUAAUCACCUAAAUAUUCCACUUUUUUGCAUUAAAAAAAUAUCAAUGACUAAGAAAUGUCUACCAUUUUCAUUUUCAAGGAAGAUUUACGAAAAAUUAUCAUUUUUUUGG